UCGGCAAAUCGGCCUAUCGCUGUCCCGUUUACGGGAGGGAGGAAAGUCCGGGCAGCACAGAGCAUCGUACUUCCUAACGGGAAGGGUUCGCGCAAGCGAAUACAGAAAGUGCCGCAGAAAAUAAACUACCUCAACAUGCUUGCAUCGUUGGGGAAAAGGUGAAAAGGCGAGGUAAGAGCUCACCGCUUCAACAGCGAUGUUGUUGGCAGGGUAAACCUUACGAGCUGAAAGACCAUGUAUACCGGAGCAUGUCCUGGACAUUAAGGGUUGCUCGCCCGAUUCCGGAGGGUAGGUCGAUCGACGCUGGCGGUGACGUCAGUGCUAGAUAAAUGAUAGGCAGUUGCGUCACGUGUGACAAAACGAACAGAACCCGGCUUAUGAUUUGCCUUUUUU
rnacentral:RNase_P_RNA from 1 species